GCCGGCGUAGCUCAGUGGGAGAGCAGUCGAUUCGUAAUCGACAGGUCAAGAGUUCGAAUCUCUUCGCCGGCUCCA
rnacentral:tRNA from 1 species